rnacentral:rRNA from 1 species
UACGUAGGGCGCAAGCGUUAUCCGGAAUUAUUGGGCGUAAAGAGCUCGUAGGCGGUUUGUCGCGUCUGCCCGUGAAAAGUCCGGGGCUCAACUCCGGAUCUGCGGUGGGUACGGGCAGACUAGAGUGAUGUAGGGGAGACUGGAAUUCCUGGUGUAGCGGUGAAAUGCGCAGAUAUCAGGAGGAACACCGAUGGCGAAGGCAGGUCUCUGGGCAUUAACUGACGCUGGAGGAGCGAAAGCAUGGGGAGCGAACAGG